ensembl:lincRNA Gm31925 predicted gene, 31925
UCCAUGGCCUCUGCAUCAGCUCCUGCUCCCUGACCUGCUGACUUCUUUCAGUGAUGAACAGCAAUGUGGAAAUUUGUCUGAAAGUGAGCAGCUGGCUACACCAUGAAUUCCCGUCCACAAUGCUCUGCCUCACCAUAGACUCGUAACCAGACCCUUUCUGCCAUCUGGAUCAUCUACUUUCUGCUUCUUGACCAAGACACACACAUGAGCAAACAGGCUAUUCUUCCAAGCCUGGGGAAUGUUAUCCUCUGCAUCAUAUCUGUGUUCACAGUGGAGGUUAACUCUUGUCUGACCACGUAUAUGCUACAAAGCGCAGAAGAGAAAGGACGGUGUGGAGGAAGCUGAACUUGAAAGAAGGCAGAGGAAAUGGAAGGCCUACAAGUGCUGGGAUUAGAAGCAUGUACCACUACACCUGGCUUAUUCUUUAAAACAUGGAUUCUAGCAAUUGGAUCAUGUCCUUUUUCUGGCAAAGUCAACACUUUACCAACUAUAUUAUCUCCCCAUCCCUGCAACUCAAUGAUUUUUAUACAGUGUCUAAAAUAGGGAUACAAAUCAAAGAUAUUCUGAAAAUAAGUCAUAAAUAAAUGUAUUUUAAAAUAA